rnacentral:rRNA from 1 species
UUCGUUGCAUAACGAGAAGUUGAAAGGCGGCUUUUAGCUGUCACUUACAGAUGGGCCCGCGGCGCAUUAGCUAGUUGGUAAGGUAACGGCUUACCAAGGCGACGAUGCGUAGCCGACCUGAGAGGGUGAUCGGCCACACUGGGACUGAGACACGGCCCAGACUCCUACGGGAGGCAGCAGUAGGGAAUCUUCCGCAAUGGACGAAAGUCUGACGGAGCAACGCCGCGUGAGUGAUGAAGGUUUUCGGAUCGUAAAACUCUGUUGUCAGGGAAGAACAAGUGCCGUUCAAAUAGGGCGGCACCUUGACGGUACCUGACCAGAAAGCCCCGGCUAACUACGUGCCAGCAGCCGCGGUAAUACGUANGGGGCAAGCGUUGUCCGGAAUUAUUGGGCGUAAAGCGCGCGCAGGCGGGUCCUUUAAGUCUGAUGUGAAAGCCCACGGCUUAACCGUGGAGGGCCAUUGGAAACUGGAGGACUUGAGUACAGAAGAGGGAGAGUGGAAUUCCNCGUGUANCGGUGAAAUGCGUANAGAUGUNGGAGGAACACCANUGGNCNAAGGCGACUCUCUGGUCUGUAACUGACGCUGAGGUGCGAAAGCGUGGNG